rnacentral:rRNA from 1 species
UACAUGGGGUGCAAACGUUGCUCGGAAUUACUGGGCGUAAAGCGUGCGCAGGCGGUUCGUUAUGUCCGUUGUGAAAGCCCCGGGCUCAACCUGGGAAUGGCAAUGGAAACUGGCGGGCUAGAGUGUGGCAGAGGGGGGUGGAAUUCCGCGUGUAGCAGUGAAAUGCGUAGAGAUGCGGAGGAACACCGAUGGCGAAGGCAGCCCCCUGGGCUAGCACUGACGCUCAGGCACGAAAGCGUGGGGAGCAAACAGG